UGUCCUUUGUUUAAUCUCUGUUUUGCAUGUUUGAAUAUGUAUUUUAUAGAAAUGCAUUUUGGUGCAUAGCUUUUAUGGAAGUACAUUUUAAUGUGUGUAUUUGUGGUGUUUUUGAAGUGUAAUUGUUUUUUAACCCACUUCAAGCCAUGAGGAGAGGCAAGUAAUAAAUAAAAUUAUUAUUAAUAAUAAUUUUUAGGAGCUAACUGGCAAGCAGGUAUUGUUAAAUGCCAGCCAUAGUUCAGAAUAAUCAGUUAAAAUUUCAUUGUGAGUCAACAUUUAAUAUUAAAGACUUUUAUAAUUUUGCCCACACAGAGGAUGGUUUGGGAAGGAUAGUCUAAUAGCGCCUAACCAUGAGUUUCAGAAUCUCAUUUUAUCCUCCAAGCUGAAAAAGAACUCUAAGAAAGUGUAAUAAUAGUCAUAUUUACUGGCAGUUGGUAGAUUCUGUGAGAUGUAGUGACGAACCUAUUUCAGGUUUUAGCCUGAGGUUUUAAAUGAGCUAUCCAAGAUUCUGACCUGUAUCACCCAAAAGAUGCCAAAUCUUAAAUAACUUCUUUAAUGACUGGACAAAAUCUGAGAUUGGAUUUACUAUGUUAGUGAAUGGGAGCUGCCACUGAUCGCCAGUGUUAUGUAUAUAGUUAUUAUGAUGGAGAAUCAAUUUGUAUUUCAAAUCAGCUAAUUACAGUUUAGUGGCCUUUCUACAUUUAAUGGCUCUAAGCUUCUUCCUUCAUGAUAGGCUCUACUGGAAAGAAAUUAUGGCUGGUAUCCAAAUUGUGAGGGCUGAAUAUAAUGCUCUGCCAUACACUCUUCAUCACAGAAGAUCAAGGGUCCACGAGAUUGUUUUGGCCUUCCCUUCUUCCAAAUGCAGUUCCCCACAGAGCUUGGAAGUGACAUGCUACAAGAAAAAUAACUACUUGAAUUGUAUUAUUUUGAAGGUCAACAAUGAAGGAAGUAUUACAUAAAUCUACAUUGGCAGAAUGCCUGCAGCCAGAAGACAGUCCACCACUACAGAGUUUGGCUAGCUGGCUCUAAAGGAUAUCGACUCCAACAUAUUCACAAUAAAAAAUCUGAAAAUUUUGUCAGGAAAUUCCACCAGAGCUGCUUCAAGCAAUGUUUUACUAAAGAAUUUGGCAAGUGUCCUUGCUGUGGUGAACAAGAAGUCAAAGGUUUA